rnacentral:lncRNA from 10 species
CCUGCCGCCCCAGCCGCCGCUGUACACUGGCGCUUAGCGCUCAGCCGACCCGAGGGCGCCGGGCUGGGCGGGCGGAGUCGGGCCGUGGGGGCGGGGCCGCGAGGAAGGCUUGGCCUAGCCCAGGCCCUCCGCCCAUCCGACUCUUCCGGCCCUUGGAGGCCUGGCUCCUGUACCUUCACCUGGCGUCUUGGCGCCUUUUUCUCAGCGGCCUGUGGGUGGAUGUGCAUGGUGUGGCCUGGAGAGAGGAGCACUCUUUCCCUUUUCUCCUUUUGCCACCUAAAUGGCACCUCCUCCAGGAAGCCUUUUUGAUCCAGACUUUGCCAGUCCCCUCUCCUGGGUCUCACAGACCCAGUGGCAGGACUCCCCCUCCUUCCAGCCUGGAGCUCCAUGAGCACCUGAAGACUGAAAGAGGAAAUGGAAGUGGGGGCGGCCACACCCAGUGCAGGGUUGAUACUGUGCCCUGAGGUGACAUAAAAGACACUCCUUUUCCAAAGCAGAAUUGGCCAGGAAAUGAAUAAACACCCGGAGAAAACGGGAUUCUCACUCUCUCCAAAGGCAAAGCCCAUAGCUCCACGUGCAAACAGAUAGGGAAGCAGAGCCUGUAUCCUGACAGCUGGCCUGGUGGCCACUCCUGCACUGAGCCUGAAGGACCGCAGAGCACAUGGAGGGUUGGGCACCACUGCCAACAGCAUCACCCCACACAGAAUAAAACCAAAGAAAGAAGGUUGGGGAGAUAAUCUGGGGAUUUUCUAGGCCCCCAGUCCCAUCCAUCAGGACAAUCAAGAGUAAUGGUUCCCAGCAAGAGUCAGAGCCCAGAAGGAAAAGGCGCAGGCUGCCUUGUCAGACAGUGGGCCAGAGGAACUAAGAGGCUGCAUGCCCUCAACAGGAACCUGCGGUAGCAUCCACAGAGGUCCCCUCUGAGACUGAGACUAAGAGGAGCAAUCCAAAACAACCACCACAACACCACAAGGCCCAGGAUGCUGAAUGCCAAGGAAACUAGGGCAUGUCUAAGUCUUGCGCAAGAACACACAGGCCACGUAAAUCUCAUAGACCAGUAAUUCC